rnacentral:rRNA from 1 species
GAUGAACGCUGGCGGCGUGCUUAACACAUGCAAGUCGAACGGUGAACGAGGGAGCUUGCUCCCUCCGGAUCAGUGGCGAACGGGUGAGUAACACGUGAGCAAUCUGCCCCGAACUCUGGGAUAAGCGCUGGAAACGGCGUCUAAUACCGGAUACGACGCGCGAAGGCAUCUUCUGCGCGUGGAAAGAAUUUCGGUUCGGGAUGAGCUCGCGGCCUAUCAGCUAGUUGGUGAGGUAACGGCUCACCAAGGCGACGACGGGUAGCCGGCCUGAGAGGGUGACAGGCCACACAGGGACGGAGACACGGCCCAGACUCCAACGGGGGGAAGGAGUGGGGAAUAUUGCACGAUGCGCGCAAGGCUGGUGCAGCGACGCCGCGUGAGGGACGACGGCCUUCGGGUUGUAAACCUCUUGUAGUAGGGAAGAAGCGAAAGUGACGGUACCUGCAGAAAAAGCACCGGCUAACUACGUGCCAGCAGCCGCCGUAACAC